CUCUACUCCUCCAUACACACAAGCACCUGGUCAGAAUUGAGCAGACCGACGGAACCUUCCUGCCCUGACCCCCAGCAAACAGCGCUAAGAGGGAUUUGCCACGACCUUCCAGGAAGUCAGGUGCUGAUGACAGAGACCAACGUGGAAGGAAAGGAGUGAAUUCUCCCUCCAGGUGCCAGAGAUGACAUCGUUUGAGAUAGAUCUCUUGGUUUGCUUUAUGGUA
rnacentral:lncRNA from 13 species